GAGAGAGAGAGAUAACCCAAUCUAGGUUAUAUUAAAGGUGAAAUGUGCAGAAAUUGUUCCGCCAUUCCCUGAUUUAAAAAAAUUCUAAUAGUUUGCCUAAUUUCAGUUUGUGUCAAAACAAGCAUUCAUUGUGUAAAGAAUGAUUGUACCAUCUAAACCUCUCUUAAAUAUAUUUUCUAUAACCCAAAAUAUUUUAUGUUCAGCAGUUUGAAGCUGAUGUACUAAACUGAAAGAAAGAAACAUGUAUAUGUUACAUUUGAUAUCAACUACUCAUGUUGAUUGUGUUUCAUUUAUCUCUUUCAGGGUGGUGUGUCGGGAUGGACUGCUCUGAUGGAGAAACUCAACCUCCACAAACGGCUUUAAGUUGUAGAUAGUUUGGGAUCUGGGAGCUGUGAUAGAGAAAUGUAUCAACCUCCACAAACCGGUACCCCACACUACCCGGCAAUACAUGUGUGCACAGCUCUCAUUCAAAAGUACUCCUUGUUGAGAGGCCAGACAGGGAAGGGAUAUGUCUCGAGGCCACUGCAGCCAUUUUGCUCCUCCCCUACCUCCUCAAAGAAGAUCCAAGUGGGCUGUACGUCACAGACAUUGUGUAAAUUUCCCCAUUACCUAGAAUGAUUAGAGCCAAGUCCAACUGUUCCUGGAUGGAGAGGAGCUACAUGCCAGAGGACAUCUCCAUCGGAUUGAGAUUGGCAAUGGGAGUCCAUUUUGUUUUUAACAUUGAGCAUGUAGCAUCAGUGAAAAACACUAUGCUGAGCAUUCAGAAACGUGUUCUGGGAAUUUAUGAGGGGGAUACCAACAAAUGUUGAAUGGCAAACUUUUUUUUCUCCAGUGUCUGUGUUAUUUUGCCCAUCUUCAUCUUUUCUUUUUAUUGGCCAGUCUGAGAUAUGGCUUUUUCUUUGCAACUCUGCACAGAAGGCCAGCAUCCCGGAGUCGGCCUCUUCAUUGUUGACGUUGAGACUGCAGGUACUAUUUAAUGAAACUGCCAGUAGAGGACAUGUGGGGCAUCGGUUUCUCAAACGAGAUACUCUAAUGUAUUUGUCCUCUUGCUCAGUUGUGCACCAGGGCCUCCCACUCUUUCGAUUCUGUUUAGAGCCAGUUUGCGCUGUCCUUUGAAGGGAGUAGUACACAGCAUUGUACGAGAUC